rnacentral:rRNA from 1 species
UGACCCCUACGGGAGGCAGCAGUGAGGAAUAUUGGUCAAUGGGCGCGAGCCUGAACCAGCCAAGUCGCGUGAGGGAAGACGGUCCUAUGGAUUGUAAACCUCUUUUGUCGGGGAGCAAAAGACGCCACGCGUGGCGUUCCGAGAGUACCCGAAGAAAAAGCAUCGGCUAACUCCGUGCCAGCAGCCGCGGUAAUACGGAGGAUGCGAGCGUUAUCCGGAUUUAUUGGGCUUAAAGGGUGCGCAGGCGGAAGAUCACGUCAGCGGUAAAAUUGAGAGGCUCAACCUCUUCGAGCCGCUGAAACUGG